GAUCUAUUGCUUUCAAUUUAUAAGUUUGAUCAACUGCUGCCAAAAGGAGAGUUUUAUCUUCAGAUAAAAAUGAUUGAAUAUGAUGGUUAAAGAUUUCUUUUAUUAUAAAACUCGCUAUUUUUGAAACAGUACAUGAAUCACUCCUACUAAGAGAUCCUGAAAGAGGUCAUCAAAGCCACCAGAAACUAUUCCUGGACAGAGGAGGUUUUAUAGGUGUGGUUGGUCUCCUUACUGACGUGUCAACUACAAAUGCACAGGGUUCUGCCUGAAAUGUUUUAGUUGUUGCAGAUGUGUAGCUUCUAUAUGUAAAGUCUUCACUGCACGUGCUACAGAAACUUGAACUAUCUGAAGAGAGGAUGGAGUCAUCAGAUACUGGGGUAAUCUAAAAACCAAAAUAAAUGCCUUGAGAUCUUUUCUGGGAAUGAAAAAAUACAAAGACAAGCUAAGAAGCUGGAGCAGGAAAUUGACUUCAAACUCUGCUUGGAGAAUCACCAGCUGCAAAACUGUAUGGGGCAAAUUUCUCAUAAGAGUAUAGAGGAUGUGACACUGUACAGAGUUCACACUCAUGACUCAAUGAUGAAAUGGAAACCAGGAAGACCUGAUUAUGCAUGUCUGUGAAACUCACCCAUGCCAUCUGGAAAGGAAAAAGUUAAGUUGCAUUUCUGCAAUACAUUCUCUCCCUUCCCUGAGCUGCUCCUGGAAUAUAAAGAAAGCAAGUGAGUUGAACUAAUCCUCUUAUAAACAUACUAAUGAUAAAUCUCCCAGUAAAACAACAACAAUAACAAUAAAGGUCUUCUGCUAACAAAAGAGUCUUUUCCUAUGUGAAGUUUUAGUAGAAUGUGCUUAAUUGUCUAGAAUUAUUUAUAGUAAGCAAACAGAAGUAUAUGGACUUACGCAUAAUGGCUCCUUGGAAAAUGUUAUAUUAUAUAUGUAACUCUUUCUGUAGAAAAUAUCUGUCUCCUUUCAUGAAAGUGAG
rnacentral:lncRNA from 1 species